GGUCAAUCUAUAGACAAAAGCACCAAAAGGAGUUAAUGUUAUACAAAGUACAUGCAUAGAUCUUUGCAUCAAAAUAAUACUUUGUGUUUAUGCUUCAGAGUUAGUCAUUACAGUUUGUCAGCAUGUUUUGCGUGGGUUGGGAUAAUGAUUUCUGCAAGACUGUUAUAGUCUAGCUGGGAAAAGCAGCGCUUCUCUUGUGAGUUUUGUCACUUUAAAAUUUAUGCAACUGAAAAGGCCUGAAGAAAUUAUUGGCUGUAGAUAACUAUAUUUGGUGAUUUGGGAUGGUAAAGAGAAGGCUUAAUAGUUCACAUUCUGUUUGUAAUAUGUUUGCAAUAUUUACUGUAGGUUGAACCCACACAAAGGUAGAACAGCUGACAUAGCUGGAAGCCGCUUGGAUCCCACCACUGAAAUUGAGGCUUUUUGCUGGGAACAGGGUGUGUGCGGGCUGAAAAGCACUGAGGAGGAACUGAGGCCAUGGCUGAUCCAGGAGGGUGCCCAGAGCAGCUCUGCAAGUGAGGUUAGUGCCUUCACUUCUCUGUCAUCACCAGUCCUUGAGAGCAAUCACCACCCACCAACAGUUCCUCAAGAUAAGACUGAGCCAGCUGGGAGAAGAAAGCCUUUGAUAUUUUGCUGCCUCGCUGAGUAAGUAUGCCAUAACAAUAAUACUUUGAACUUUUACAGCACCUUUUCAUACCAGGGUCUGAGUGCUCUACAAACAUUCAUCCACUAAGCCUGAUACCACCUAUUGGUGGAAGCAACUUUUUAUUGAACUCCUUUUAUAGGCCAAAUCUUCCAAAGAGUUCAGCAUCCAUUUUGUCUACACCAGAAAACUUUCUUGCUUUGCAUGAAGUACCUGUAAGUUUCUAGGUUUCCACUUUAGCCACCCAUGCCCAGCAUUGGUAAAGUCUGUACAACCUCUGCCCCAAACUGUUUAAGUCCCAGGAUUCUGCUGAUGUGCCCCCAUAAAGCUGAAGCUCUUGUAAACUGAUGAUCUCCUGCUUACAGCUUGUGGGGACCUUCACGAGCUCCUGAUGAGAAUUUUGCUGAACAAAACAAAGCUUUGUCAAAAUGCCAGUGGUCUUUCUGCUCUCUGUAGCUCUGUUGUUGGCUAAUGUUGAAUGCUACAUGGAAAGUAGUUAUGUUUGUUUUCUUCAUCAUCAAAACUAUUCUCUGUGAUGCUAUUAUAUUUGGAAGCAAAGCAAGAAUAUACUUGUCACAGUUACAUACAAGCAUAUCGUAGAUGAAUUAAAAAGAGAUGCUACAUCCCAGAUAGGCAUUGUAUUUUCAUUUGUAAAGCAUGCCACAGAAUUAAACUUUGAUCUUCAUUUUCUGUCUGCUUUCUCGGUGAGAGAAUAUAGUCAAAACCAGUUCUGGAAUUGAUCUAUCUCUAUGGAAAGUUGAUUUUAAACUUGUGCCAAAUGUCGAUGAA
rnacentral:lncRNA from 1 species